rnacentral:rRNA from 1 species
AGGUGAAAAGCACCCCGGGAGGGGAGUGAAACAGUACCUGAAACCGUGCGCCCACGAGCAGUCGGAGCAACUUUAUGUUGUGACGGCGUGCCUUUUGUAGAAUGAGCCAGCGAGUCGCUGGCGCGGGGCGAGGUUAACCGAAAGGGAGCCGGAGCGAAAGCGAGCCUUAACAGGGCGACUUGAGUCCCGCGCCGCGGACGCGAAGCCGGGUGAGCUAUCCGUGGGCAGGCUGAAGCGGGGGUAAGACCCCGUGGAGGGCCGAACGCACGUCGGUUGAAAACGGCGGCGAUGACCUGCGGAUAGGGGUGAAAGGCCAAUCAAACCCGGAGAUAUCUCGUUCUCCCCGAAAUAGCUUUAGGGCUAGCGUCGCGCGUUCACCGCCGGAGGUAGAGCACCGGAUGGACGAGGGGGCUUCGCCGCCUACCGAAUCCAACCGAACUCCGAAUGCCGGCGGCCCAGAGCGCGGCAGUCAGAGCAUGUGGGCUAAGCUGUGUGCUCGAGAGGGAAACAGCCCGGACCGCCCGCUAAGGUCCCCAAGUUCCAGCCGAGUGGCAAAGGAUGUGCGUCCGCCCAGACAACCAGGAUGUUGGCUUAGAAGCAGCCAUCCAUUCAAAGAGUGCGUAACAGCUCACUGGUCGAGUGGACAUGCGCCGACAAUACACGGGGCUAAGCUGGACACCGAAGCGGCGGGAUUUUAAUUCAUUAGAAUCGGUAGGGGAGCUUCCCAUGGGCGGAGAAGCCGGAGGGCGACCGACGGUGGAGCGCAUGGGAGUGAGAAUGCUGGCAUGAGUAGCGAGAGACGAGAGAGUAACUCGUCCGCCGUGAACCCGAGGUUUCCUGGGCAAGGCUAAUCCUCCCAGGGUCAGUCGGGGGCUAAGGCGAGGCCGGGAGGCGUAGCCGACGCGCAGCAGGCAGACAUUCCUGCACCGCGCACGCGGCGCUACGACCGACGGGGCGACGGAUGGGGGUGGCUCGGCGGGGUUCUGGACGUCCCCGUGAUGGAGCGCGGCCCGCGGACCAGGGAAAUCCGGUCCGCACACAGGGCGAGGCUCCGGACGAAGCGACUGAGCGAAGCGAGUGAGCCCGAGGUCCCUAGAAAAACCCCUAGGCAGGCGCGUGCGCGCCCGUACCGCAAACCGACACAGGUGGGUGGGUAGAACAUACCGAGGCGAUCGGGUCAACCAUGGUCAAGGAACUCGGCACAAUGGCCCCGUAACUUCGGGAGAAGGGGUGCCCGCGCGUACGUGAACCGGCUUGCCCGGGGAGCGGAGGCGGGCCGCAGUGGAGAGGCCCAAGCGACUGUUUACCAAAAACACAGGACUCUGCAGAAGCCGCAAGGCGACGUAUAGGGUCUGACGCCUGCCCGGUGCCGGAAGGUCACGCGGAGGAGUUAGCCGAUUCGGCGAAGCCCCGAAGCCAAGCCCCGGUAAACGGCGGCCGUAACUAUAACGGUCCUAAGGUAGCGAAAUUCCUUGUCGGGUAAGUUCCGACCUGCACGAAAGGCGCAACGACUUGGGCGCUGUCUCGACCAUGGACCCGGUGAAAUUGCACUGGUCGUGAAGAUGCGACUUACCCGCGGAAGGACGGAAAGACCCCGUGAACCUUCACUGCAGCUUGGCAUUGGCCGCUGGUCCCGCGUGUAGAGGAUAGGCAGGAGGCACAGAUCCGGAGGCGCCAGCCCCCGGGGAGCCGCCCUUGGAAUACUGCCCUCGCGCGACCGGCGUCCUAACCCGAGGCCGUCAUCCGGCUCGGGGACCGUGCCAGGCGGGCAGUUUGACUGGGGCGGUCGCCUCCUAAAGGGUAACGGAGGCGCGCGAAGGUCCGCUCGGGACGGUCGGCAACCGUCCUUUUGAAUGCAAGAGUACAAGCGGGCUUGACUGCGAGGCCCACAAGCCGAGCAGGUGCGAAAGCAGGCUCUAGUGAUCCGGCGGCCCCGAGUGGGUGGGCCGUCGCUCAACGGAUAAAAGGUACUCCGGGGAUAACAGGCUGAUCUUGCCCA